rnacentral:lncRNA from 1 species
GUCAAAGAGUACAUUACUUACUGAGCUGUCUAGCUUAUCAUUCUAUAUUUUACUAUUUUUACUGAUUCAGAGAACUAACUUGACUCGAAGUUAUAAUAUGGGAGAGCAAAUUAGAGACAAAAUUUGAUAUCUUUAUUUAGAUUAGGAUUUAUUGAAAGUUGAAGAAAAACUAUGAAAUUUUAUUUAGUAAGAUAUUUGAUUUGCUUAUUUAAAAUUAAGUUAAAUAUUAAUUAUUUAAAUUUUAUUUCACUAUUACUUUAUGAUAUCAUGAUGAGAUACCU